rnacentral:rRNA from 1 species
AGGGUUUGAUCCUGGCUCAGAAUGAACGCUGGCGGCAGGCCUAACACAUGCAAGUCGGACGGUAACAGGAGAGAAGCUUGCUUUUCUUGCUGACGAGUGGCGGACGGGUGAGUAACGCGUGGGAAUCUACCCUUUAGUUGGGGACAACAUAUGGAAACGUAUGCUAAUACCGAAUAUGCUCUACGGAGUAAAGGUGCCCUCUCCUUGGAAGGUAUCGCUAAAGGAUGAGCCCGCGUUAGAUUAGCUAGUUGGUAGGGUAAAGGCCUACCAAGGCGACGAUCUAUAGCUGGUUUGAGAGGAUGAUCAGCCACACUGGGACUGAGACACGGCCCAGACUCCUACGGGAGGCAGCAGUGGGGAAUAUUGCACAAUGAGGGAAACCUUGAUGCAGCCAUGCCGCGUGUGUGAAGAAGGCCCGAGGGUUGUAAAGCACUUUCAAUUGUGAGGAAGAUUAAGUAGCUAAUACCUGCUUAGUUUGACGUUAACUUUAGAAGAAGCACCGGCUAACUCUGUGCCAGCAGCCGCGGUAAUACAGAGGGUGCAAGCGUUAUUCGGAAUUACUGGGCGUAAAGCGCGCGUAGGCGGACUGUUAAGUCGGUUGUGAAAGCCCUGGGCUCAACCUAGGAACUGCAUCCGAUACUGGCAAUCUAGAGUUUAAGAGAGGGAAGUGGAAUUCCAGGUGUAGCAGUGAAAUGCGUAGAUAUCUGGAGGAACAUCAGUGGCGAAGGCGACUUCCUGACUUAAAACUGACGCUGAGGUGCGAAAGCUUGGGUAGCGAACGGGAUUAGAUACCCCGGUAGUCCAAGCCGUAAACGAUGUCAACUAGCUGUUGGUCUUAUUAAAAAGAUUAGUAGCGCAGCUAACGCGAUAAGUUGACCGCCUGGGGAGUACGGUCGCAAGAUUAAAACUCAAAGG